rnacentral:pre_miRNA from 9 species
CUUCUGUAGCACUAAAGUGCUUAUAGUGCAGGUAGUGUUUAGUUAUCUACUGCAUCAUGAGCACUUAAAGUACUGCUAG